CAGCUCCCGCUGCUGAAUAGCUGAGAGGCGCACCCGGGCGGCCAGCUGGGCUCGGAGUGCAGCGGGGUUAGGAUGGACGAGGACGUGUUGCACCCUGAAGAGCCUCAUCAUCGGUGAGAGUGGGGUGGGCAAGUCCAGCCUGCUCUUGAGGUUCACAGAUGAUACCUUUGAUCCAGAACUUGCAGCAACAAUAGGCAUGUUAGAGGGAGCCUCACCUUUGCAGUACUGGAGCACAGUCUCCAUCGCACUCUUCCGGUCGGAGGCCCAGCGGAUGCGGGCGGAACCAGUGAUCUUGUUCUCGAUGGGCCACCAGCCUUGCCAGAGGUACACCUCGUGGUGAUUGUCAACAAGGAAAAGUGCUGUGAGGGCAGGGACAGGGCCAGACCAUCAGGAGCUCCUUCACGGACACUUCUAGCUCACUCCUCCCCCAACCUAGUGGAUGUUGUCCCUCUUGACUGCAGUGUCACAGGGGGAAACCCCCUUGGCCAUCAAACCAGGGGCAAAGGGGCAAACAGAGAAACCCAGGAUACCCCAGCCCUUUGACAGUUCAACGGGGAGAAGCCUGUAGGCAGAGAGAAGUGGUGUCAAGGAGUUGGUCUUUUUCAUUCCUCGUCCUCCAGGUCCUCCUCCCUUUGCCCCAGCUCAAGGCCCUGGCCCUUCUGGAUACUGGCAGGGCUGUGCUAAGAGUGGAAGGGAUAAUGCAUGUGCCACUCAAGGGGCUGUUAGCACCGCAUAUCUCCAAAGAGCACAAUCAACACUGGAGCGCACAUCUCACUGCAGACAGGUCAGUGGCGUUCCUGCCCUGCACGCGAUUGCUUAGCAGUGAGGUGAGCUCAUGGCUCUCUUACAGAGAAAUGGGCCUUAAAAAGCAAAACUGCCACCGGGAGUGGUGGCUCAUGCCUGUAAUCCCAGUGCUUUGGGAGGCUGAGGAGGAAGGACUGCUUGAGCCCGGAGGUUGAAGACCAGCCUGGGCCACAUGAUGAGACCCUAUCUCUACAAAAAGAAAAAAAAAAUUAGCGAGGCAUGGUGCUGCAUGCAUGUAGUCUCCACUACUCAGGAAGCUAAGGAGAGAGGAUCGCUUGAGCCCAAGAGUUAGAGGCUGCAGUGAGCCAUGACUGCGCCACUGCACUCCAGCCUGGAUGACAGAGUAAGACCCUGUCUCUAAAAAAUAAAAUAAAAGGAAAUAAAAAUCAAAACUGUUCUACUGCCUUUUCCUCCUACCUUUUUCUCCUCCUCAAAUUGUCAGUCUGACUCUUACUCCAGGUGGCAAAAUGCCUCUCACUCUUGCUAGUCGGCUCACUGUAAGUCCUUUCCUGACAUGCAUUUCAGGAUUCUGUGAAAACCACACUUUAAAAGCCCAGUGGAGGUUGAUAACCCGCCCUGAGCCCCAGGAUGAAGGGCGUGGGCACACCCUCUCUUACUGGUGGCUGAUUUUCCAAGCAUGACAUGUGCACUGGGCAAACUUUCAGUGCUGCCCUGAGAUCCCGGUGCAAGAUGAGGUCCCUGGCUGCAGCUCCAGGCUCUUGUAAUGUGAGAAGCAACAAACACAAACUGAGAGGCAGCUGACCUUGGCUUCAUUGGAGGGUGGGUGGGAGGGGUUGUCAAGCCCAGUCUCUUGUUACUUUCCCAACCAGAAUGAGGGCACAGAGCCCUGACCUUGGGAUCAGAAGACCUGGGCUGGAGUCUUGGCUCUGCUGUGGAGACUUGGUAUGGCAGACCCUGUUCCCUGGCUAACUUAGCCAAUACCCCAACAUCCUUCUCCUCUGCCAUUUGCUUCCCCAGGCUCCCUUGCAGCUGGGGCUGGCCAUGUGACAGGCUCCGGCCAAUGGGAUGUAAGCAGAAGUCUGCUGGGGGCUUCUGGGAAAACACGUGCUUUAUCUGAUUAAAGAGAGAGAGUGGCUAUUAGGUGGGCUUUUUUCCUUCCCCUUUCUUUCUCUUUCUAUCUUGAAUGCAAACAUAAUGGCUGGAGCAAUGGCAGUCGACGGGUGACCAUGCAGCAACAAGACUGAGAGGAAGGCUGGGAAAAGAGCGGAGACGCCAGGCCUGCCGCUGUGGUGCUCAACCUGUUCUUAGCUGACGUCUUUGGGUGGGUUAAGUGACUUGAGUCUCGUUCCUUAUGCUAUAAAGUGUGGCUGAUUUCACUCUCCUUCCUUUUGGUGUAGGGGUGAGGAUGAAAAGAGUGUAAGCACAUGUUCUGGGUGCUCUGGGAAUGUACUUGGCAAACAGAAGCUGCUUAAUAAAUACCAACGUAAAAUCAAAAGGCUUUCUGGAAGAUGUGCCUUCUACUGCUCAGCAUAGCUGCCCCCUGCAGGCCUUACC
rnacentral:lncRNA from 1 species